rfam:Medicago truncatula strain A17 chromosome 2, whole genome shotgun sequence.
UACCGAAGUUUUUUUCGGCAGUUAACUGCAGCCGGUUACAAAUUCCUCGGCAGUUAACUGCCGAGGAAGCAA